GUGAGGAAUUUUGCGCAAUGGCCGCAAGGCUGACGCAGCAACGCCGCGUGGGUGAAGAAGGCCUUCGGGUCGUAAAGCCCUGUCAGGUGGGAAGAACGACACGGGGAGGAAUAUGCUCUGUGAGUGACGGUACCACCAGAGGAAGCACCGGCUAACUCCGUGCCAGCAGCCGCGGUAAUACGGAGGGUGCGAGCGUUAUUCGGAAUUACUGGGCGUAAAGCGCGUGUAGGCGGCCAACCAAGUCUGAUGUGAAAGCCCUGGGCUUAACCUGGGAAGUGCAUUGGAAACUGGCUGGCUUGAGUACUGGAGAGGAAGGGGGAAUUCCCGGUGUAGAGGUGAAAUUCGUAGAGAUCGGGAGGAAUACCAGUGGCGAAGGCGCCCUUCUGGACGGUUACUGACGCUGAGACGCGAAAGCGUGGGGAGCAAACAGGAUUAGAUACCCGAGUAGUCC
rnacentral:rRNA from 1 species